UACGUAGGGAGCGAGCGUUGUCCGGAUUCAUUGGGCGUAAAGAGCUCGUAGGCGGCUUGAUAAGUCGGAUGUGAAACCUCCAGGCUCAACCUGGAGUCGCCAUCCGAUACUGUCAUGGCUAGAGUCCGGUAGGGGCCCACGGAACUCCUGGUGUAGCGGUGAAAUGCGUAGAUAUCAUUUGGAACGCCAACGGCGAAAGCAGGCAGCUGGGGAUGCACCGACGCUGAGACACGAAAGCCAGGGGAGCGAACGGG
rnacentral:rRNA from 1 species